rnacentral:rRNA from 1 species
AUCUCUGUAGAGUCUGCAUAUCAAUAAGCGGAGGAAAAGAAACUAACAAGGAUUCCCCUAGUAACGGCGAGUGAAGCGGGAAGAGCUCAAAUUUGAAAUCUUCAAGGUUCUACCUUGACGAAUUGUAGUUUAAAGAAGUGUUUUCGGUUAGAGGAGUAGUAAAAGUUCUUUGGAAUAGGACAUCAUAGAGGGUGAGAAUCCCGUAUUUGACUAUUCUUUCUAGCUUUGUGAUACACUUUCAAAGAGUCGGAUUGUUUGGGGAUGCAGUCCAAAAUGGGUGGUAAAUUUCAUCUAAAGCUAAAUAUUGGCGAGAGACCGAUAGCGAACAAGUACCGUGAGGGAAAGAUGAAAAGAACUUUGAAAAGAGAGUUAAACAGUACGUGAAAUUGUCAAAAGGGAAGCGUUUGACACCAGUGUUGUUUUUCCGAAAAUCAAUUAAAAAUUGAUUCAUGCCAGGUUGUAUUGACCUUAUCAGCUUGCAAUUUGGUUUUGGGUCUCUUUUUGAUGCACUUUUCGGUUAACAAGUCAACAUCAAUUUCCUUUGCUGUAAAAAGGUAAGAGGAAGGUGGCUUCAAUUUCGGUUGAAGUGUUUAUAGCCUUUUAUCUCUGCAGUCGGGGAGAUUGAGGUCUGCAGCGUAGAUCCUUCGGGGCUAGAUACAUUUAUGCUAAGUUAUAGCUUUUCAUAGACAACUUGUUGACUAUGUUUAGUCAUGUAGCUUACUCGUAAGUGCUAUUUUACCUACGCUUAGGAUGUUGAGCGCAUGUCUCUCUCU